AGAGUUUGAUCCUGGCUCAGGACGAACGCUGGCGGCGUGCUUAACACAUGCAAGUCGAACGGAAAGGCCCUUCGGGGUACUCGAGUGGCGAACGGGUGAGUAACACGUGGGUGAUCUGCCCUGCACUUUGGGAUAAGCCUGGGAAACUGGGUCUAAUACCGAAUAUGACCACGCUCUUCAUGGGGUGUGGUGGAAAGCUUUUGCGGUGUGGGAUGGGCCCGCGGCCUAUCAGCUUGUUGGUGGGGUAAUGGCCUACCAAGGCGACGACGGGUAGCCGGCCUGAGAGGGUGACCGGCCACACUGGGACUGAGAUACGGCCCAGACUCCUACGGGAGGCAGCAGUGGGGAAUAUUGCACAAUGGGCGCAAGCCUGAUGCAGCGACGCCGCGUGAGGGAUGACGGCCUUCGGGUUGUAAACCUCUUUCACCAGGGACGAAGCGCAAGUGACGGUACCUGGAGAAGAAGCACCGGCCAACUACGUGCCAGCAGCCGCGGUAAUACGUAGGGUGCGAGCGUCGUCCGGAAUUACUGGGCGUAAAGAGCUCGUAGGUGGUUUGUCGCGUUGUUCGUGAAAACUCACAGCUUAACUGUGGGCGUGCGGGCGAUACGGGCAGACUAGAGUACUGCAGGGGAGACUGGAAUUCCUGGUGUAGCGGUGGAAUGCGCAGAUAUCAGGAGGAACACCGGUGGCGAAGGCGGGUCUCUGGGCAGUAACUGACGCUGAGGAGCGAAAGCGUGGGGAGCGAACAGGAUUAGAUACCCUGGUAGUC
rnacentral:rRNA from 1 species